rnacentral:rRNA from 1 species
GGAAUAUUGGGCAAUGGCCGAGAGGCUGACCCAGCCAUGCCGCGUGCAGGAAGAAGGCAUUCUGGGUUGUAAACUGCUUUUACCAGGGAAGAACACGCUCCUGAGGGAGUAACUGACGUUACCUGGUGAAUAAGCACCGGCUAACUCCUUGCCAGCAGCCGCGGUAAUACGGAGGGUGCAAGCGGUGUCCGGAUUUAUUUGGUUUAAAGGGUGCGUAGGCGGCCCGUUAAGUCAGCGGUGAAAUCCCACGGCUCAACCGUGGAACUGCCGUUGAUACUGGCGGGCUUGAGUUCGGUCGAGGCGGGCGGAACUGGUGGUGUAGCGGUGAAAUGCAUAGAUACCACCAAGAACCCCGAUUGCGUAGGCAGCUCGCUGGGCCGAAACUGACGCUGAGGCACGAAAGCGUGGGGAGCGAA